GACAGAGGUGCCAAGCGUUAGGCGGAAUCACUGGGCUUAAAGCGUGUGUAGGCGGACGCCUAAGUACCUUGUGAAAUCCCACGGCUCAACCGUGGAACUGCUGGGUAUACUGGUUGUCUUGAGCCAGCUAGGGGCGAGCGGAACAGACGGUGGAGCGGUGAAAUGCGUAGAUAUCGUCUGGAACGCCGAAGGUGAAAACAGCUCGCUGGGGCUGCGCUGACGCUGAGACACGAAAGCCAGGGGAGCGAACGGG
rnacentral:rRNA from 1 species